rnacentral:rRNA from 1 species
CUGCGAUGGAUCUCUUGGCGAAAGAAUCGAUGAAGAUGG